rnacentral:rRNA from 1 species
UGGGGAAUAUUGCGCAAUGGGGGAAACCCUGACGCAGCAACGCCGCGUGAGUGAUGAAGGUUUUCGGAUCGUAAAACUCUGUCAUUAGGGACGAUAAUGACGGUACCUAAUGAGGAAGCCACGGCUAACUACGUGCCAGCAGCCGCGGUAAUACGUAGGUGGCAAGCGUUGUCCGGAUUUACUGGGCGUAAAGAGUAUGUAGGUGGGCACUUAAGUCAGAUGUGAAAUUCCCGGGCUUAACCUGGGAGCUGCAUUUGAUACUGGGCGUCUAGAGUGCAGGAGAGGAAAGUGGAAUUCCUAGUGUAGCGGUGAAAUGCGUAGAGAUUAGGAAGAACACCAGUGGCGAAGGCGACUUUCUGGACUGUAACUGACACUGAGAUACGAAAGCGUGGGUAGCAAACA